UACGAAGGGGGCGAGCGUUGUUCGGAAUUACUGGUCGUAAAGGGCGCGUAGGCGGCGACUCAAGUUAGAUGUGAAAGUCCUGGGCUUAACCUGGGGACUGCAUUUGAUACUGGGUUGCUUGAAUUCGGGAGAGGAUAGCGGAAUUCCCAGUGUAGAGGUGAAAUUCGUAGAUAUUGGGAAGAACACCGGUGGCGAAGGCGGCUAUCUGGACCGACAUUGACGCUGAGGCGCGAAAGCCAGGGGAGCAAACGGG
rnacentral:rRNA from 1 species